GAUGAACGCUGGCGGCGUGCCUAAUACAUGCCAGUCGAGCGAACAGACGAGGAGCUUGCUCCGCUGACGUUAGCGGCGGACGGGUGAGUAACACGUGGAUAACCUACCUAUAAGACUGGGAUAACUUCGGGAAACCGGAGCUAAUACCGGAGAAUAUAUUGAACCGCAUGGUUCAAUAGUGAAAGACGGUGUUGCGGGCACGUAUAGAUGGAUCCGCGCCGCAUUAGCUAGUUGGUAAGGUAACGGCUUACCAAGGCAACGAUGCGUAGCCGACGUGAGAGGGUGAUCGGCCACACUGGAACUGAGACACGGUCCAGACUCCUACGGGAGGCAGCAGUCGGGAAUCUUCCGCAAUGGGCGAAAGCCUGACGGAGCAACGCCGCGUGAGUGAUGAAGGUCUUCGGAUCGUAAAACUCUGUUAUUAGGGAAGAACAAAUGUGUAAGUAACUAUGCACGUCUUGACGGUACCUAAUCAGAAAGCCCCGGCUAACUACGUG
rnacentral:rRNA from 1 species